UGAACGCUAGCGACAGGCUUAACACAUGCAAGUCGAGGGGGCAGCGAGGGAGUGCUUGCACUUCUGUCGGCGACCGGCGCACGGGUGAGUAACACGUAUGCAACCUGCCCUUGUCAGGGGGACAAGCGAGGGAAACCUCGUCUAAUACCGCAUAUAUGGUUUUGAGGCAUCUCUUAAUCAGGAAAGAUUAUCGGACAAGGAUGGGCAUGCGGGACAUUAGGUAGUUGGGGGUGUAACGGACCACCAAGCCGACGAUGUCUAGGGGCUCUGAGAGGAAGGUCCCCCACACUGGUACUGAGACACGGACCAGACUCCUACGGGAGGCAGCAGUGAGGAAUAUUGGUCAAUGGUCGAGAGACUGAACCAGCCAUGCCGCGUGAAGGUCACGGCCCUAUGGGUCUUAAACUUCUUUUGUAAGGGAGCAAUAAGUCUCACGUGUGGGAUGAUGAGAGUACCUUACGAAUAAGCAUCGGCUAACUCCGUG
rnacentral:rRNA from 1 species